AUUUUUAAUGAAUCAUGCUUCUAUAGAAUGUGUUGGUACAAUAAUCUCUACCUGUCCUUCCCAGGGAGGGAGCAUAUCUUAUGAAUGAUCACUUUUGUUGACCACAGUGAGUAUCCUGUAAAUUCUCCUUAGAGAGGGAGGAAUUUGUCCCAUUUAUGUGUGUAGUUAAAAUGAUUGAAGAGACUGUGUAAAUAGUAUUCUUGAGGAGAAACCAGAAUUGGCUUAUUUGGCUUUACUGAAAGAAGCUGAUAGUAGCAUUUGGGGGAUGGAUGAUGUGGGUAGUUGAAGCACCACCGCCUUUACAGUUGGGGGAUGGAGUAGUAGUAAUACUGAUUUGAUUUGUCGUUCACAUGGGCAAUUUAUCGGCUUGCUGCUACAAAAUUUCCCAUGCAGUGCGGCCCACAUUAUUAUGGUCGUGAUUUGGACUUCUAACCUCACAAGGCCUAUAGGAAAUUAAUUUCCGAGUUAGAAUAUUGAGUGCUUCUUUCAGAAAUUACUGACUAGUUCCAGAUGAUUGUAAUUUUUAUUUCAUAUGUAAUU
rnacentral:lncRNA from 1 species